rnacentral:rRNA from 1 species
GACGAACGCUGGCGGCGUGCCUAAUACAUGCAAGUCGAACGCUUCUUUCCUCCCGAGUGCUUGCACUCAAUUGGAAAGCGGAGUGGCGGACGGGUGAGUAACACGUCGGUAACCUACCCAUCAGAGGGGGAUAACACUUGGAAACAGGUGCUAAUACCGCAUAACAGUUUAUGCCGCAUGGCAUAAGAGUGAAAGGCGCUUUCGGGUGUCGUUGAUGGAUGGACCCGCGGUGCAUUAGCUAGUUGGUGAGGUAACGGCUGACGAAGGCCACGAUGCAUAGCCAACCUUAGGGGGUGUUCGGCCACACAGGGGUUGAGACACGACCCAGACUCCUACAGGAGGCAGCAGUAGGGAAGCGUCGGAAAAGGACGGAAGUCUGCCCGAGCGACGCCGGGUGAGUGAAGAAGGUUUGCGGAUCGUAAAACGCUGUUGUUGGAGAAGAACGAGGACGUUAGUAACGGAGCGUCCGCUGACGGUAUCUAACCAGAAAGCCACGGCUAACUACGU